GGCGCAGCAGGCGCGAAAACUUUACAAUGCAGGAAACUGUGAUAAGGGAACCCCGAGUGCCCGUACACGCGGGCUGUCUGGGUGUUUAAAAUGCACCCAAAGAAAGGGCCGGGCAAGACCGGUGCCAGCCGCCGCGGUAAUACCGGCGGCUCGAGUGGUGACCACUUUUAUUGGGCUUAAAGCGUUCGUAGCUGGACUGUUAAGUCCCUUGGGAAAUCCGCCGGCUCAACCGGCGGGCGUCUAAGGGAUACUGGCAGUCUAGGGACCGGGAGAGGUAAGAGGUACUCCGGGGGUAGGAGUGAAAUCCUGUAAUCCCCGGGGGACCACCUGUGGCGAAGGCGUCUUACCAGAACGGCUCCGACAGUGAGGAACGAAAGCUGGGGGAGCGAACCGGAUUAGAUACCCGGGUAGUCCCAGCCGUAAACGAUGCGCGUUAGGUGUACCGGCGACCACGAGUUGCCGGAGUGCCGAAGGGAAACCGUGAAACGUGCCGCCUGGGAAGUACGGUCGCAAGGCUGAAACUCAAAUGAAUUGACGG
rnacentral:rRNA from 1 species